rnacentral:rRNA from 1 species
AGUGAACGCUGGCGGUAGGCCUAACACAUGCGAGUCGAACGGCAGCACAGUAAGAGCUUGCUCUUACGGGUGGCGAGUGGCGGACGGGUGAGGAAUACAUCGGAAUCUACUUUUUCGUGGGGGAUAACGUAGGGAAACUUACGCUAAUACCGCAUACGACCUACGGGUGAAAGCAGGGGAUCUUCGGACCUUGCGCGAUUGAAUGAGCCGAUGUCGGAUUAGCUAGUUGGCGGGGGAAAGGCCCACCAAGGCGACGAUCCGUAGCUGGUCUGAGAGGAUGAUCAGCCACACUGGAACUUAGACACGGUCCAGACUCCUACGGGAGGCAGCAGUGGGGAAUAUUGGACAAUGGGCGCAAGCCUGAUCCAGCCAUACCGCGUGGGUGAAGAAGGCCUUCGGGUUGUAAAGCCCUUUUGUUGGGAAAGAAAAGCAGCAGGUUAAUACCCCGCUGUUCUGACGGUACCCAAAGAAUAAGCACCGGCUAACUUCGUG